rnacentral:rRNA from 1 species
UACGAAGGAUCCAAGCGUUGUCCGGAUUUACUGGGUUUAAAGGGUGCGUAGGCGGUCGGGUAAGUCUGAUGUGAAAUCUCACAGCUUAACUGUGAAACUGCAUUGGAUACUAUCCGGCUCGAGGAAUGGAGGGGAGACUGGAAUACUUGGUGUAGCAGUGAAAUGCGUAGAUAUCAAGUGGAACACCAGUGGCGAAGGCGGCCCGCUGGGCAACUGCUGACACUGAGGCGCGACAGCGUGGGGAGCAAACAGG